AACAUCGCGCACCUGCGGGAACCUGCGGAAGGAUCAUUACCGAGUUUACAAACUCCCAACCCUAUGUGAACCUUACCAAUCGUUGCUUCGGCGGGCUUAGCCCCCGCGCCCUCGCCGGCGCCGGGAGAAAGGCGCCCGCCGGGGACCCCAAACCCAAUGUUUUUCAUGCAGUAUUUCUGAGUGGCAAACGCAAAAAUAAAUCAAAACUUUCAGCAAUGGAUCUCAGAUCGGAAGAGCACA
rnacentral:misc_RNA from 1 species